CCUACGGGUGGCAGCAGUAGGGAAUUUUCGGCAAUGAGCGAAAGCUUGACCGAGCAACACCGCGUGCACGAAGAAGGUCUUCGGAUUGUAAAGUUCUGUUGUAGAGGAAGAAUGGAGUACGUAGGAAAUGACGUACACAUGACGGUACUCUGUUAGGAAGCGACGGCUAACUACGUGCCAGCAGCCGCGGUAAUACGUAGGUGGCGAGCGUUAUCCGGAAUCAUUGGGCGUAAAGAGGGAGCAGGCGGGCUGGAGGGUCUAGUGUUAAAAGGCUAUGGCUUAACCAAUGUCAGGCGAAGAUACUGGUUGGCUAGAGUUAUAUAGAGGAUAGUGGAAUUCUAUGUGUAGCGGUGGAAUGCGUAGAUAUAUGGAAGAACACCAGCGGCGAAGGCGACGAUCUGGGAAUACACAGACGCUGAGUACCGAAAGCGUGGGGAGCAAAUAGGAUUAGAUACCCGGGUAGUC
rnacentral:rRNA from 1 species